GGGGCUGUAGCUCAACUGGGAGAGCGCCUGCUUUGCAAGCAGGAGGUCGCCGGUUCGAUCCCGGUCAGCUCCA
rnacentral:tRNA from 1 species